rnacentral:rRNA from 1 species
CUGGGGGGUCAGGUUUACAUAGUGACUGCGGAGGACAUUA